GCUACGGGUGGCAGCAGUGAGGAAUAUUGGUCAAUGGCCGCAGGGCUGAACCAGCCAAGUCGCGUGAGGGAUGACGGUCCUAUGGAUUGUAAACCUCUUUUGUCAGGGAGCAAAGGGCGCCACGUGUGGCGCUUUGCGAGUACCUUAUGAAUAAGCAUCGGCUAACUCCGUGCCAGCAGCCGCGGUAAUACGGAGGAUGCGAGCGUUAUCCGGAUUUAUUGGGUUUAAAGGGUGCGGAGAGGGAAUGUCAAGUCAGCGGUAAAAUUUCGGGGCUCAACCCCGACGUGCCGUUGAAACUGGCGGUCUUGAGUGCGCGAGAAGUAUGCGGAAUGCGUGGUGUAGCGGUGAAAUGCAUAGAUAUCACGCAGAACUCCGAUUGCGAAGGCAGCAUACUGGAGUUCAACUGACGCUCAUGCACGAAAGCGUGGGUAUCGAACAGGAUUAGAUACCCUGGUAGUC
rnacentral:rRNA from 1 species